GAAUGUGAGGGCGAUCUGACUGUGAUUGUCAGAGUUGAUCAAGCUGAUCUAUGUCUUCUUCCUCCCUUACCACUGCAUUUAUGUCCCUCCCAAAGCUGAGAGUUGGGUGGAAAAGAUAUUUGUAUUAUAAAGACAAACUUCCCUGACAGAGGGCCAUUCUUUGGUAAAGGGUAUAAGAGUAGCUGCACUCUCCUGCUAGAACCUCCAAACUCUCAAAAUGAAACUUAAACAUACUUUGUAUUAACUGUGCUCAUUCAAUUAAUCACCUUGGGUUGAGCAUU
rnacentral:snRNA from 1 species